UCCACAGCUGAAAAGCUGUACUGCAGCAACCAGAGGGGCAAUUCUCCAUCAGAGGCUCUGAAUGCCAGCCACCUGUAAACCUCUCUGCCCCACCUACAGCCUCAAGAUUCCUGCUCUCAGUAAUUCAGCGUGGCCAGAUACAUCCAGGAAAUGCUUGGCUCCUGUCCCCGGGGGACUUUGCCUCCCGGGCAGCAGGUAGAGCUGAUGCUGCCGUUUUUCCCCAGGGAUGGGCUCGCCCCAGCAGCCAGUGGAGGAGAAGCACCCAAAUCCUGCUUUGCUUCCAGCAAAGCCCAAGGGCAGCUGUACGCUUCCAUCUUCCUGCAUCUGGAGGUGCUGAGCUGAUUAAUCUGCUAUCAACCCCCCGUCCUACGGCUGCUGUGGCCAUGCCAGCACGUGGUGUGAAAGGCUCUGCUGUUCCCGGCGAUGGGCACCGCCGUGCCAGGUGUACGAUGCCCUCAUUAAGGGAGGAAUGCUUAUCUCCUGACCCGUGAUGAAGACCGUGGCGUGCCCUUGGUUGUGUCUCGGUCCACGCGCCAGGCUUUUGGCCCGAACACGGUCAUCUGAGGAUACGUGAUUAGAUAGCAAGAAGCAAGGAGCAGGUUUGUUCAGCUGACAUCUCCGUUGACAUCUCCGGGCUUUCAUCAGCGCGCCGGCAUCACCGUAAGGCACAGGGGCUUCCUGACUCAGCACCCAAGGAAAGCCCUCUUCUCCUGUUUAUGAUCAGGAUGCGAAAGUAAAGGAAGCUGAAAUGCUGCUCAGGAAUCCACUCCGGGCUUUAAUCGCUACUGUCACUGCUAGAAGGCUUGGGGAAUGCUGAAAAAUAAUCACCAUCGCUGUGUAAUAGGAUGCAGAUGUUCAGGUUGUAAUCCAUCCAGACACCAUGACCUCCUGGCUACUGGAAGAUGAGCCCUCGUCAAAACUCCGGAGCUGAAAAACGUCGCUGCCACGAAGCCUCCAGGAAAUGGGGAGCGGCUUCGUGCGUGGUUGUUGGAUGCACAGCGGCUGUAACCGGGAUUUUGUCAGGGGCAGAGCGCAGCUACCUGCUGAUGGGUGGGACAGCCACGCUGCCAUCUCCUCGUGGUGGCCUCCUGAGCCCAGAUGUGCCACCGCUGCAUGGGGACACCGGGCUGAACCGCCCCAGAUCGCAGCCCACGCUGACCCCCUUUCAGGUUUGAAGACGCGUGGGUCUGAAGCGCACUCUCCACGGCUGCCUGUGGUCUUUCAAGCCUGUGUCAAGUUAGGGGGGAGCCCUGCUUCGGGGUGUUAGUCCCUGGCUGUCAUCCCCACCUGGGCAGGUGCACCGGGGGACCUGAGCCCCUCUGCCGUGGCUGUCACACCACCAGCAGCCCCAGCACAGCAGCACGGGCACCCUCCAUGCACACACCCCACCAGCACAGGCAGCUCCAGCAAAUCCCAAAAUAGCAGAGUUAGAUAAAUACACAGAAAAGAGUUUAUAAAUUUCCAAGUGGGUGACAAACAGCACUGCUCGCUGAGGAGGGGAGCUUUUUUUAACCUUUUUUUUUUUUUUCCUGCCCACAGAUUCUUUCCCUGCGCAAAGCAGAAGAUAGUUUACUUCUAAAGCAAAGUGGCCUGAAACUUGAAGGCUUUUUGACCAGCAGAGAGAGAAAGAAAGAUUUUUUUUGUGGCUUGCAAGAGAGCAAACAGCCUGAGCCUCAAGUUUGCUUUUUUUUACAGAUCCAUGCCUGCUGAGAGCCUGAGCAAGUAGCUCUUUAGGAAGCACAGAGGAGCAGAGCACAUGGUAUUACUGGAGCAGGGAGCAGGUAACCGAGAUGUCUGCUUUUUCUCCAGCUCUCCUGAUUUUUUUCUGCGUGAGCUGAGCAAAGCACGGUGCUUUGACACACCUGUGUGGACACAGGUAAUGGCACUGCCUUCACUGGAGCCAGUGGGGCACGUCCACCUGCCAUUAACUUUUGGCAGCCUCUGGAAAACCUCUACACACAGUGAGCUUUUAAAUCAGUGUGUUUUUGGUCACAUCUGGUCCCUGCCCUGUAUUUUCUUAGGAGGUUUCUCUUUGCCGUGCAGUGAUGGAUGCAGAAGGCUUUGCAUCUGUGCUGCUGGGGCUGGGCGAGGGUCUGCUGGGGCAGUGCCUGUCUUUGGGGGACCCCAGGUGGGUGUAGCAGGGACAGACAUUGGGCAGGGCAGGAUAUUUCCCCCUCUGCCCAGGCUCCCAGAAGGAUGCAGCUGAGACUGGGGCAGUGGGUGAUGAGACUGGAGCAUCCCCAGGGACACCCAGAGCCACCCAAUGCAUGGGGCGUACCGGAGACCCUGGCGGUGCCCCUUUAUGAAAGGAGCAUUGUUAUCCCACGGAAAUGACUUCUGGAUUCCCAAAGCCUUCAUUCGAAAUGAAACGAAAACAACACAAGCAGGUGGGGACAGCGAGGGCAGCAGCAGGUCUCCUCCCUCCGCUUGCAUGUAUUUUCCCCUCAGGAAAAAAAUAAAAUAAAAAAAUGAAAAGACCUUAAAAUGACCAGAAGAGAAAGAAAACAGUUGGGCUGGUUUCAAACUGCUGAACAGGAAGCAGAAAACCACUGCAAGUCUGAAGCAUAUUAUUUGAUAUUUAAAAAAAAAAACAACUAAACAACAUCAUCUCGCUAGGGCUCUCCUCUUUCUGCUUUCUCUCCCGUUCGUUUCUGGCUUUUUUCAAGCACCUCUCUUCGCUGUCACCACGUGGGAAGGCUGCAUGAACUCUGUUUCAUCUGUCUUUUGGUAGGGCAGCGCAAACAAACUGGGGAAAAAAAAAAAAAAAGGAAAUCAGUUGAUCUGGUCACUCUGCUUGCUUUUUAGAGCCCGUAGCUCUCUGCUUGGACCUAGAGCAAGGAUUUUCCCAGCCAGGCUUUGUGGUAGCGGCAUGGUGUGUACUCCCAUUCCCUCCUCUACUGUACAGCCCCUGCCAAACAGGGCUCACGUUAAACACUUGUGACAGUUGCGGGGUAAUUCUGAGCCUUUCCAAGCCAGAGACAAGGACUUUGUUUCCCAGCAGACUCGAAUGUUUCAUCGGGGGCUGGAUAAUCACAGUGCGGAGGAGGAUGCUAAAAGCAGGGCUGUGUUCAGGAAUCGCGUAUUCCCGUAGCAUCCUUCACGCAGGAAAAUCCCCAAAUCCUGCCAAAGGGCAUGCUGGUAAUGCAGCCACGACAGUGGGCACCAAGUGCCACCGGCCAGCUCCUCCCUCAAACCCCCAGCAAAGCCUCGGGGGAAACCUCCCCGGGUACCCCAGCACCUGCUCUCCACACUUUUGGGAUCCUCAGGCCCCGUUCCCAGCCCCUUUGAGCAACCCCAAGCGGGGCCGUGGAUGUGCCAGCCCGCUCCCAGGAGGACGGAGGCUUCACACCGCAGGCAGACACGCUGUCUCCUCCGGCUAAUUGCAGCCUUGUGCGGGGCUGGGGAGGGAGCUGGCUCCCCACCAGCACUCCUCAAUCCACGGGGGCUGUCAGCCAGACCUUCUCCAGAUCCUGGCUGCUCCUCUGGCGAGCUGGCUGGGGGAACAGGCUGCUUUCUCAGCCCUCUGCACGCCUCACGAAGCAGCGAGUGGCCAUAAAGGAGGGACUCGCUUGGUUAAUCUCUGCCUCUCUCCUUCUGGUUUUGCCCAGCACUCUGUGGGUUUGCUACGCAAGGGGACAACGUGCUGCUUUGUCACUGGAGGUGGCAGGUCCUGAAGGUCUCCAGACGGCCGGCCUGGUUUGUUAUUGCAGGUUUGUUAUUGCAGGCUGCCCACGAGCGUCCCUCGGUGCCCACCUGCCUGUUGCACGACAGCGGCGGUCUGGUGACGGCUGAGUCACCGGCACCCAUCUCCCACAUCUUCCUCUUUCCUCCCCACCUCCUGACGGCCAUCGCAAGCGUUGUUUUGGAGGAGAAGGAAGCACGCAGGCGUCUGCAAGCCAAGGGCCUCUUUGGGUUUCUCUGCAUGCCCCGACUCCUUCUAAGCACGUGUGUGCAUGCGCAUGCUGUGGGCACCAGCCCCAUAAAAGAAAAAAAAAACACCCUCUUUUGAUUUCUUUUGGCUCUGAGAGAAAGAGGAAGGGCCAAAGCGACCAUCAGGCUGCAAUCUGGUCACUUUGUGACAUUUUGGCCAGACGCAGCCAAACAGAAAAGCCUGGUUCCUCAGCUCCAGAAAGCCCUGGGUCCGGGACAAAAGCCCUGAAACAAUGGCCCGGCUUCCCAGCAGCCGGGAACCGAAGGAUGCACGUGUGGAGGCCGUCAAGCAUCCAGGAUUAAUGACAGCCAGAGGAAGCUGCUCGCCGGCUGCACCGCCGUGGGACUCGGCAACACAAUAGCACGCAGGCCCCUCUGCUUUUUCUCAGGGCCUAGGUAAAUAAUCCCCUUCCAUAGAAGCCCGAUCGGUUCCCAUCAGGCUGAACAGCAGAAAGCCAUUCCCAGGCUCAUGGGCAGUAAUCAUUGUUUCCCAGGCCACGUAAUUAUUAUUUUGACUGUAAGAAACCUUGGAGAGACGGCGCACAGACAGUGUUUUCCUGAUCGGCUCGUGGGGAGCAAUUUCACUCGGCUUAAAGCAAGCUGGCCCCACGGCAGCAAGCCCGGGACAGGGCCCCUCUCCAAAUAUCUUGCAUGGCUCGUGAAGAUGAAAACAUCGAUGGGUGUUCAUUUGCAGGAGGACAGGAGCCCCGGCAGCUCCGGCAUGUGUGGCUGGUGCAGAGAACCAGUUGGAUCACGCUUCUCAGUUACAAGGCAAUUAAUUUUCGUGGCUGAAGAAAAACCAUACUGCGGGCAAAAUCCUGCCCCGGCAGGUCGCAGCUCUUCUCCUGGCAGCGGGGUGGUGCCAGCCCUAGGCGUCACCCCCCUGUGAGAUGGGGCACAUGCCGGCGAGCCCGUGCAAAGGAGCAGGAUGCGAGCGCUGCCACGAGCACGUGCCAGCACAGCAGGGCUGCCUGAGCCAAGCCCUGCCCUUGGGAGCAGGCACGGCAUGGCACGGCACGGCAUGCUCACCUGUACGGUGAGGUUUGCAGGCUGCACAUUGCCUGGCUCCUUCCCCGGGGUUGGGUUAGCCCCUGCUCAGCCCGGGGAUAACUCCUGAGUUUGCAUCAGCUAGGGCAGAAGGCAGGGUAAAAUGCAGUGAGAGCGUGGCUGGCUUGGCUUUGGGCACUUAGGGGUGAUUCUUCCAACGAGUGCAGGGUUGACAGCAUCUCUGUGGGUGGCUUUUUUUUUUUUUUUGGUGGCUUUUCAGACCUGGUGAGGUCUGGGUUGUUCCAUUUACCUCAAAAGGCUGCAGCAUCCCAGCUGGGUUUCCUGAGCCUGAUACUUCACAGUGGCAAAAUGCUCCUGCAUGGCUCACGUGGCUUGAAAAGCACCAGAGCUUCAGCAUUGCUUUCCUGAGACAUGGAUGGAGCCUGCCUUAGCCUGACAUCGUCAGUGCCAUCCCUUAUUGUCUGGGUCCAUCUGUUCUUCGUGGGAGGGAUGGACAGGGAGCACAACAGCCCGGAGGCAGACAGUCACUCGAGUGUCCCCUUACCAAAAGGGUUUCACCUCCUCCACGUUGUGUAACCGCUUCACAGUGCCAGCACCAAUUCUGUCAGGCUCAGGUUGGGCUCAGGUUACACGGGAGGAUUGCAGGAGCCGUCUGGAACCGAGGAGCUGCUGCUAAAGGGCACGGCCACCCGGCUACCGCCCCAGAGGGUCUGCUUGUAGCAGCACGGCCGCCAAACCCACCAGCACAAAGCAAAGGCCAGGAGGGAUUGCUUGGGGCAGGGCUGUGGUGCAGGCAGCCCAGGCAGAGCGGUGGCAGUGCCUUGCCUGAGGUCGCACUCGGAGCCGCCUCCUGCAGCCUCCUCCGCUGCAUUAGGACUAAUGUGCUUUUGGCCACGGGCCCGUUUCAAGGUAGUUCCUGAUGGCUGUUGUUUUCGGAGCCGCUCUUCGGAGGGAAGAAAUGUUGGCUGCUCCGCCUGCGGGUCUGAGUAAACUCUUCUCUUGCUUAAAAACUCGUUGUUGUGGGCGAGCACACGAUUGCGCUCAGGCUUUUGGGAGCUGCAGCUCCCAAAAGAUCCUCCAGCUGAACCAGCCGCAGGAGGGGUCACACCACACCAUCUGACAAGGACCAUGUCUCAGAUUGGGGCAGACACCCAUGAUCUUCAGCUCCUGGCAGCCAAAACGAAGCAUGGAGGUGGUGCCACAGGGGACUGGCACUGUUUGAUCUCUGAUGGCUGUGUCCAUGCCCCACCAAGGAGCUUGGCCACACUGAACGGUCAGAAGUGGUGUGGGAUCCUGCCUGCUCUCAGAACAAUAACAUCCCCGCUGCCUUCAUCCGCUGUCAUGUUUGAGCCAUUGUAUCUGCUGACAAUAAGUUGUGGGGAGAGCUGAGGCACUUCCAAAAAGCAGUCCUCGGGGCCAAUGCUCUAGCUCUUUGUCUGGUACCCGUGUGAGGCAGCACCGCAAAUGUCUGUUCAGAGCCCUGAGUGGCAGCAGGGGUGGAUGCUGGAGACCAGGGGAUGAGAGGCAGAAGAGGGGGUGAGUGGAAAGAUGGAGCUUGUUUUCCAAGCUCUUGUUUUCCUCUCUCUGACAGUGCUCCCCUACUGUAGUAUUUUUGUCGAGACAACCUGUUUAUAUUUCCUUUCUGUUCUGCUUCUCUCUUUGGGCUUCAUAGAAGAAAAAAAAAAAAAAAAAAAAGGAAUGGAUGCAAUGGAAAAAUGAAGUGAGAACAGAAAUGCUCCUAGGUCACCCUCUUUUUCGUUUCCACUGCGCUUGCCAAGCACAGCCCGUUUUGGUCUCUGCUAACAAUGCUCCGUGCUGCAGGACGGCAUGCUCCAGCCCUCUGGCACAGGAGCUGAAGCAGAACCUCCUGGGAGCCCCCAGGGACAUGCAGCAGCCACCACCAGGCUCUUACCGUGAGGCCAAAGCUGCCUGGCGUCACUGUCACCAGAUGCAUACGUCGGGACGCUGGAAAGGGUCACAAAUGGCCGAGGAGGACGCCACGUCCUGCAUCUGAGCCAUCCGCCAGCUCCAUCCCUGAGUGCAUGAGAAAUGCCACGGUGGUGAUGGCAAGCCCCUGGGGGUUUAUGGAACAGCCUCUUGUCAUUAAUCAAAAAGAUAUCUUUUUCUUUUUCUUUUUUUUCCCUCUGCCUGCCCGCUGUCCUCUCCUUUCUGAAUGGUGUGCUUUUCAGUCUGUCCCAAAGAAGAGCUUCAAAGCAGAGAUUGCAGCCUGGGAGAGUAAGCUAAGGUGGAGCCCAGGUGAUACCUCGUCCAGAUGCCUAGUCCCUCAUGCUCUUCCCGAGGGAAAGGUUUUGCUUGCUUUUAGAAAACAUUGCAGGACCUGGUUCCUUCCACAGUCCUCCCUUUAGCCAUGGCUAUAGAGCAAAUGGAGGAUGUUUUCCUUCCUGGAAUAUCGAUUUAAUUCUUGAAUAAACUAUGGGUCAGUCUA